rfam:Clostridium symbiosum WAL-14163 genomic scaffold supercont1.4, whole genome shotgun sequence.
UAUUAUAUUUGGCAAACCCGUCGAAAGGCGGUGGCGCAAAGCUAAAGGGUCUAAGUAGAAGUAUAUGACAGCCAGUUGCAAUC